rnacentral:tRNA from 1 species
UCCCCGGUGGUGUAACUGGUAACACGCCUGGCUCUGAACCAGGAGAGUCGAGGUUCGAGACCUUGCCGGGGAG